rnacentral:rRNA from 1 species
UAACGGGAGGAGGACACAGGGAUUGCCUCAGUAACGGCGAGUGAAGCGGCAACAGCUCAAAUUUGAAAGCUGGCUCUUUCAGGGCCCGCGUUGUAAUUUGUAGAGGAUGCUUCGGGUGCGGUGCCGGUCUAAGUUCCUUGGAACAGGACGUCAUAGAGGGUGAGAAUCCCGUAUGUGACUGGUGGCCUGCGCCCGUGUGAAGCUCCUUCGACGAGUCGAGUUGUUUGGGAAUGCAGCUCUAAAUGGGUGGUGUACUUCAUCUAAAGCUAAAUAUUGGGUCUAGACCGAUAGCGCACAAGUAGAGUGAUCGAAAGAUGAAAAGCACUUUGGAAAGAGAGUUAAACAGUACGUGAAAUUGUUGAAAGGGAAGCGCUUGCAAUCAGACUUGCGCUGCGUCGAUCAACCUGGGUUCUCCCUGGUGCACUCGGCGCCGCGCAGGCCAGCAUCAGUUCUGGCGGUUGGAUAAAGGCCCAGAGAACGUGGGUCGCUUCGGCGAUCGUUAUAGCUCUGGGUGCAAUGCAGCCCGCCGGGACUGAGGACCGCGCUUCGGCUAGGAUGCUGGCGUAAUGGUUGUAAGCGACCCGUCUUGAAACACGGACCAAGGAGUCUAACAUUUAUGCGAGUGUUUGGGUGUCAAACCCAUACGCGCAAUGAAAGUGAACGGAGGUGAGAACCCUUAAGGGCGCAUCAUCGACCGAUCCUGAUGUCUUCGGAUGGAUUUGAGUAAGAGCAUAACUGUUGGGACCCGAAAGAUGGUGAACUAUGCGUGGAUAGGGUGAAGCCAGAGGAAACUCUGGUGGAGGCUCGCAGCGGUUCUGACGUGCAAAUCGAUCGUCAAAUCUACGUAUAGGGGCGAAAGACUAAUCGAACCAUUGAAGCCUAACUAGGUGGUUGGGAGGCCCGUGAGGCCUAGUCCCCACAGGGGGCGAUACUGCAAAAUUGCGGGGACAGUUCGAUAGACGUAGGCUACCACAGCCGGCUCGAAAGAGCUGGCCACGGUCACAAUGCCUGCGCCUGAGCCGAUCCGCAGCGAGUUCCUAAGGCGCCAUGCGCUAUGGAACGCGCUCAUCGACUAGAUGGCAGUGGGUGUCAAAAGCCUAAGGUAUAGUCAGGCUGCGGCAGCGAUGCAGCAGCUACCGCGCUUAGC